rnacentral:snRNA from 1 species
AUACCUUUCUCAGCCUUUUGGCUAAGAUCAAGUAUAGUAUCUGUUCGUAUCGGUUUAAUAUCUGAUACGUGAGACAUUGUCCCACGGAUAUUAAAUUAAUAUAUAUUUUGUGGGGAGGGACUAAUACAAUGGCUUGCCAUUGAGACCCUCAUGUGUUGCUCUAGCGUUGCACUACUGCUUGAGCCGGCACACCCCAA